rnacentral:tRNA from 1 species
GAGGGUGUAGCUCAAGUGGUAGAGCAUAUGCUUAGCAUGCACAGGGUCUUGGGUUCAAUCCCCGUACCUCCUCU